UGUCCAUCGUUUGGGCCAGCGCUGUUGGACGAUGCGACACCGUUCUGGAAGGCUCAUCCGCAGGCUGGGAUAAGGACCGCCCUGGUCAGACGUCGCCCUGACUCGUCCAAACCACCUUGGGUUGCGCCCUCACGUGAGUUCUUCCGCUCUUCUAGGCGGACCCGGAGAUGCCCCACCACUCACGUCAGCACUGCACUUCCCAACCUUGGAGACAUCGCGGAGACACCGCGGGAACGCGCUUCUCUCUUCUUUCCGGAGGAGAAAGUAUUUUUAGCACACCCGGGAUCGAAUGUUGGCUCGGUGACCCAGUAGCCGUGCAACCCUGGACGACUCCCCAGGAGCAGAGAAAUACGAAAACCACACACCGAGAGGCUUCACGCAGCGUCCCUUCGAAGUCCGCACAGACCCCCAGUGAAGCUGUUGUGCUGACGAUUGAGGAAAGUUCUGAAGCACGGGAAGCAAGCCAAGGUCUGUCAGCCCUCUCUCGGCGUUUGUCUGGGAAGAGGGUCCCUGUGGGGGCCCCACAUUAACACCAGAGCAGGACACGGGCGUAGCAGAGCCCGACAUUGACUGAUCUCUCUCUAUUUUUAAAGAUCUUAUUUAUUUAUUAAUUUGACAGAGAGAGACAGCGAGAGAGGGAACACAAGCAGGGGGAGCGUGAGAGGGAGAAACAGGCUUCCCUCCGAGCGGGGAGCCCGAUGGGGGGCUCGAUCCCAGCACCCCAGGAUCAUGACCUGAGCCGAAGGCAGAUGCUCAGCGACGGAG
rnacentral:lncRNA from 1 species